UACGGGGGGGGCAAGCGUUGUUCGGAAUUACUGGGCGUAAAGGGCUCGUAGGUGGCCAACUAAGUCAGACGUGAAAUCCCUCGGCUUAACCGGGGAACUGCGUCUGAUACUGGAUGGCUUGAGGUUGGGAGAGGGACGCGGAAUUCCAGGUGUAGCGGUGAAAUGCGUAGAUAUCUGGAGGAACACCGAUGGCGAAGGCAGCUUCCUGGCCCAAUUCUGACGCUGAGGUGCGAAAGCGUGGGUAGCGAACGGG
rnacentral:rRNA from 1 species